rnacentral:rRNA from 1 species
GUCUAGAGGCUUCGACAAUGCCCGAAAGGGUGAUCGAGCGAUGCCGCGUGUGUGAAGAAGGUCUUCGGAUUGUAAAGCACUUUAAGUUGGGAGGAAGGGCAGUAAGUUAAUACCUUGCUGUUUUGACGUUACCGACAGAAUAAGCACCGGCUAACUUCGUGCCAGCAGCCGCGGUAAUACGAAGGGUGCAAGCGUUAAUCGGAAUUACUGGGCGUAAAGCGCGCGUAGGUGGUUUUGUAAGUUGGAGGUGAAAUCCCCGGGCUCAACCUGGGAACUGCCUCCAAAACUGCAUGACUAGAGUACGGUAGAGGGUAGUGGAAUUUCCUGUGUAGCGGUGAAAUGCGUAGAUAUAGGAAGGAACACCAGUGGCGAAGGCGACUACCUGGACUGAUACUGACACUGAGGUGCGAAAGCGUGGGGAGCAAACAGGAUUAGAAACCCGUGUAGUCC